rnacentral:rRNA from 1 species
GAUGAACGCUGGCGGCGUGCUUAACACAUGCAAGUCGAACGAUUGAAGCUGGAGCUUGCUCCGGCCGAUUUAGUGGCGGACGGGUGAGUAACGCGUGGGUAACCUGCCUCAUACAGGGGGAUAGCAGUUGGAAACGACUGGUAAAACCACAUAAGCGCACGGUGUCGCAUGACACAGUGUGAAAACACUCCGGUGGUAUGAGAUGGACCCGCGUCUGAUUAGCUAGUUGGCGAGGUAACGGCCCACCAAGGCAACGAUCAGUAGCCGGCCUGAGAGGGUGAACGGCCACAUUGGGACUGAGACACGGCCCAAACUCCUACGGGAGGCAGCAGUGGGGAAUAUUGCACAAUGGGGGAAACCCUGAUGCAGCGACGCCGCGUGAGUGAUGAAGUAUUUCGGUAUGUAAAGCUCUAUCAGCAGGGAAGAUAAUGACGGUACCUGACUAAGAAGCAC